rnacentral:rRNA from 1 species
UACAGGGGGUGCAAACGUUGCUCGGAAUUAUUGGGGAGAAGCGCACGUAGGCGGUUUGUUAUGUCGGAUGUGAAAGCCCUUGGCUCAACUGAGGAAGUGCAUCCGAAACUGGCAAGCUAGAGUAUGUAAGAGGGUCGCGGAAUUCCCGGUGUAGAGGUGAAAUUCGUAGAUAUCGGGAGGAACACCGGUGGCGAAGGCGGCGACCUGGGACAAUACUGACGCUGAGGUGCGAAAGCGUGGGGAGCAAACAGG